rnacentral:lncRNA from 1 species
GAGGGGUAGGCUCCUCCGUGGCCCGUGGGAGCGCCGCCCCCUGUCGGACGCAGCCCGCAUUACGCGUCGACUCCCGAGUGUGCUAGGUUAACUCUUGGUUUUCUGCCGUGUCUCCGUCUCGGGGUAAACGCUCGACGCUGCGGCAGGUGCGACUUGCGAGGAGGCGGCGUUCCGCCUCCGGCCACCGCCCCCGGCCUCCAAGCCCUUUUACACGAUCCGGGGCCAUCUUGCGUGGAUGUGGCCUUCGUUCAAGAGGACCUGGCCGCUCUAUAAAUGCUGCACGUGCGGCAGGGCGUAUCGGUGGAAGAGCACGCUCAAACGCCACGAGGAGUUCGAAUGCGGGGGCAAAGCCCCGACGCACCCUUGCCCGUACUGCAAUUAUAAAUCGAAGCAGAAGGGCAACCUCGGCGUCCAUAUAAGGAAGCACCACCCCGAACGGUCUAUCCCCGAGCGUAAAUGACAUAAAGUUGUUCCUUUGAAUUUUUUUAAUUUUUUUAUAGUCUUUAUAUUUUAGUCCUUUUGUUUUGCUGUUGUGUAUAGAAUUUGGACUCGGAUAGUUUUUUUAAAUUUUUUCAUAUAGUUAUCAAUGAACUAUUCAAUUUAGGUGUUAAGUAAGAAAAAAAGAAACAAUUAAAGUUUAAUAAGUUACCAGUAAUUUAUUUUUUAUUUUUUUUAAGUUUGACCAAAAAAGGUCAUUGCUGUGGUUCGUUGUGUACUAAAUUGUUCAUUUGUUUGUCUCUAUUACAAACUUAGCUUUCACCGGUAAUGUACUGCAUGUUUUCAAUAGUAUUUAAUAAAAACAAAAGUUCAUAAAAGCUAAAGAAGGCUAUGUCAGUGAUUUUUUGCAGGAUAAUUUUGUGAUAAAUUGAUAAAUCAUGAAUUAUGUGUUAACUCAAAUUUAUUUUUGCCCAGCGCUUAGUCAGUUAAAUAUUUUUUAAUUAUUAUUGAUUAUUUAACUUAUUUAAAAUUUAUUAAUUUUUGUUGCAUCUGUUAAAUUAAUUUUUAGGGGGGGGAUUCUUAAAUAUGCCUACCAGUUUUAUUGUUCGCGUAAAUGAAGAACGAUGGGUGCCAAUUAUUUCUAAAGAAAAUUAAAAGUAAGAGGAUAUUUUUUUACAGUGGUGGUGCUUCCAUGUUCCUAUCCUAUCAAACCCUACGCCUAUUUAUUUAUUUCUAAAUAUUUUAAAGACCAGAGGAUUAUCAAAUUGUCUAUAAUUUUAAUUCUUGGGCACAAAUUUUUGAAUUGUUUUAUUUAUAUGUGCCUUGAAUUAUAUGUGUGCCAAAAUGUGUAAACUAAUAACACGAAAGUUAAAAAAAAAAAGUGUGCAAUGAUGUUUUUAUGGUUUGAUUUUUGUUGUGUUGUUAUUUUAUAAUUUGAACAAAAUUUUUUUUUUAUAUAAAUUCAAAAGAGAUUUUAAUGUAACCAAGAGAUACCAUGAUUUAACUGUGAUUUGUCAUUAAUUAAUUGUAAGUUUUAUUUGCUCAAUUGGAGAAUAAAAACUGUUGCUUUACAAGAAAAAAAAUUCAAAAUUAGAAUUGUGAUUUAAAUAAGAAAUAACCCCCUUUAUCCCUUUGUAUAUACAAAUCUUUUUCCUCUCAAUUGUGGACGAUGUAGUUUGAGAUGUGUUAAUCGAGCUUUUUUCUUUCUGUUCCCGAUUCAGACUGCGACAGGGUCAAACGAGACCACAGCUACGUACAGGAGGCGGCAGUGCGGUGCGGAUUCUGCGGUAAACUAUACAGGCACAGGCGACACUUGAAACGUCACCUGGCGACCGAAUGCGGUCGGGAACCUCAACUUAAAUGCCCGCUCUGCCCUUACAAAUCUAUCAAAAACAACCUGUUAUCGCGACACAUCAAGUUGAAGCAUUCUUAAAAGAAAAAACCUUUAAAAACGAACCAGAUGAUGAUAUUAAAGCGGUCCACUUGGAGGAAGGUGGUGAGGAUGCGGAUGCUGAAACACAAAAACGAGGAAGGGUUUUUCAAGUGUGAAGGCUGCGGCACCAUCGUCGGCCGGUGGAUCUCGCUUUUCCGCCACUUCGAACACGAGUGUCCCAUCACCUGCCACAGCCACGACUGCCCGUACUGCAAGUUCAAGACCAACUAUAAACGUCCUUUUGUUGAACACAUGCUUAAACACCGGCCUCAAAUGCUGACCCAAAAUUAGCUUGUCGAGGACGAGAAUGAAAGGUCUGUAGUGAAAAAUCUAAUUGCGAUACCAACACAGUGUAAUCGUUUUUUGUUUUUUUUUACUCACAAGGGAGAAAUUUCCACGUAUUUUAAUAAAGAAAAAAAGUAGGAAAUCUUUUUUUUGUGUAUUGAAAUAUUUAUAUUAUACAUAUAGAUGUCCAUUUGAUACAAUGUUUGUUCAAUUGUAAAUUGUAAUUUUAUAUCUUUCUCAAAAAUUUUGAGGAGCUUUUUAGCUUUUUUGUCGACCUGACUGGCAUUUGAAUUGAAAGAAAGUUAAUUUAUUUUUACCUUUAAAAAAUUUGACGUGUUUUGGUUCAAAUUUUUAUGUGAUAAAUGGUGACGUGUCUCAAUUUUGGAUAAGAUAUAAAAUACAUUAGGGUUUAAUUUAUUUCUACAUUUUUACUCGUACUAUAAACCUUUUUUUUACAUUUCUUCAAAUUUUAUAGGUUUUGGGAUUAAAAAAAAGCCAAAGGAUUCAUGUCCAAGAGAUUUUUACAUCUUAAAAAUGUCACAAAAUCUAGGACAAUGGAUGUUCAAUAUCACAAAAAAAAAAAAAAAAUGAUUGUUGAUUCUAUAAUAUUCUUUCCUCAGUUUGUAAUGGCUGUAAUUUUUUGUUCAAUCAUUAGUGUUCUUUCCCUUUUGCAAUUUUUUCGUAAAAUGUUUGUUACAACAAUAAGACGUAUAGUUUAGGAUAUUUAUAUAUUACUUUGUUGUAAAUAAUGUUUACAGAGUUAAUAGGAUAAAUGGACUUGUAAAUAACCAGCUGACGUGUGGAAAAAAUAAUCGGCUGAAAAAAGUAAGACGUAUCAUCAUUCCUGAGUUUCAAGUAAGCCUUUUAAAAUUGAAAUGUCUUGAUACGUUAAUUUUAAGUAAAUUUUCAAAAUUGUAUUUUUUUUUUUCUAAACCUUUGUAUAUAAGUGUAAAUAAACUGUUUGAACUCUU